rnacentral:sRNA from 1 species
CAGGGAUCUUUGCUUGCUUCAUUGUUUGGAGGGGAGGUGUAGGUGGGUAAUAAUUCGGUAAAUAUUUUUUGUUUAAAGUAUAGUUCCUACUUUCUUGCUAAAUUGAGCAAGCCAUUGCCCUUUUAUAGACAACUUUCCUUCUCUCAUAACAGAAAGUACUUCAGGAAUUGGACGUGAUUAUGAGUGCAGAAUAAGCUCUACCUUUGUAUAUUAAGUCAGUAUAUUCAUUACUACCUAAAGGUAGAAACAAAUGACGCCAUCUUUAGAAUAUUGCUCUUAUGUGUUAGUUGUAACCUUAAAGAUUUUGAACUUUCUCAGUUUAGGAGAUUAAAAAGUCGAAUUCUCUAAGCAUUAUCUCCAAAUAAGGUUGAUAUAUUUAUAAAAUUAAUUUUGUAUUGCCUAUGAUGACAUGUGAACAUUUUAACUGUUUAUUAAUUUUUUUCAGCCUUGAUAAAUUGCACACUGCACUUUCUGAGUUAUGCUUCUCUAUAAAUUAUGUACCAAACAUGGUGGUAUGGGAACAUACCUUUACCCCACGAGAAUAUUUGACUUCUCAUCUGGAAAUACGCUUUACCAAGUCAAUUGUUGGGAUGACUAUGUAUAAUCAAG